GACCACCCCCUCUGCGCCUCCAUAUAAACCCCACCCAGCCAACCCCUAGCGCAGACGGCGGCGAGCUGGGAUGGAGCGCGCCUUGGCUUACUAGCCUGGCGCAGCUCCUCCGAAGAGCUGGGGCACCCACGCAAGCCUUCCUCACUUGGGAUGUCUCUUCAGGGAUGACAUCAUGGACUCAUCCCCCCACCCUCGUUCUCAAGGACCACCUCCCCUGGAUGCCAAGCUGCUGCCAGGUGCCAGCUGCCUGCCUCCACCUCCUCCUCAAGACGGUCUUCAUUUGCAUAUGUCACUCAGAGCCUGGAUUCCUGGACCCGACUGGCCUACCCACCAGCCACCAGCAGACCCUUGAGGUCCAGCCCCUGGAAGGACAGGAUGAAGACACCUGGAAGUGACCAGCAGCUGUCCCUUGGAGCUAGAGACGUAACCCAGUGCCCUAGUGAGGGGGCACUGGGCCUUCCCCUCUGUCUUGGCCCUGCCUGUGGCCUGACUCCGCCUCCUGUCCUGUGUGUCUCUGCUUAUGUUGCCUGCUGGGCCACUGGUGCUUCCUCCCCCAGGUCUUCAGUGUCCCCUGACUGACUGCGUUGCCUCAAGCUGUCC
rnacentral:lncRNA from 1 species